GGCUUCUAACUGUAAUCUUAGCUACCAGGAGCCUGAGGUUGGUGGAUUACUUGAGCUUGGAAGUUUUGAGCUACAGUAGGCUAAGCCAAUUAACUAGCCACUUUUAAGUCUGGCAUCAGUAUGGUGAAGCCCUGGGAGCAGGGGCCACCAGGUGACCUAAGGAGAGACAAAUUAGCCUAGGUCAGAAAUGGAAUAGGUCAAAGCUUCUGUGACAAUCAGCAGUGGAACUGAGACCAUAAGUGAUUGCUGUAUUCCUAGACUUAGUGAGAUUGGGACAACCAGUAUUU
rnacentral:SRP_RNA from 1 species